AAAUGACGGUACCUGACUAAGAAGCCCCGGCUAACUACGUGCCAGCAGCCGCGGUAAUACGUAGGGGGCAAGCGUUAUCCGGAUUUACUGGGUGUAAAGGGAGCGUAGACGGUUUUGCAAGUCUGAAGUGAAAGCCCGGGGCUUAACCCCGGGACUGCUUUGGAAACUGUAGGACUAGAGUGCAGGAGAGGUAAGUGGAAUUCCUAGUGUAGCGGUGAAAUGCGUAGAUAUUAGGAGGAACACCAGUGGCGAAGGCGGCUUACUGGACUGUAACUGACGUUGAGGCUCGAAAGCGUGGGGAGCAAACAGGAUUAGAUACCCUGGUAGUCCACGCCGUAAACGAUGAUUACUAGGUGUUGGUGGGUAUGACCCAUCGGUGCCGCAGCAAACGCAAUAAGUAAUCCACCUGGGGAGUACGUUCGCAAGAAUGAAACUCAAA
rnacentral:rRNA from 1 species